UACGUAGGGUGCGAGCGUUAAUCGGAAUUACUGGGCGUAAAGCGUGCGCAGGCGGUUUUGUAAGACAGAUGUGAAAUCCCCGGGCUUAACCUGGGAACUGCAUUUGUGACUGCAAGGCUAGAGUAUGGCAGAGGGGGGUAGAAUUCCACGUGUAGCAGUGAAAUGCGUAGAUAUGUGGAGGAAUACCGAUGGCGAAGGCAGCCCCCUGGGUCAAUACUGACGCUCAUGCACGAAAGCGUGGGGAGCAAACAGG
rnacentral:rRNA from 1 species